GACGAACGCUGGCGGCGUGCCUAAUACAUGCAAGUAGGACGCAGUUGCGAACGGGUGAGUAACGCGUAGGUCACUGCCUAUUAUAGGGGGCUAACUAUUGGAAACGAUAGCUACUACCGCAUACUAGUAGAUGGACCUGCGUUGUAUUAGCUAGUAGGUAGGGUAAUGGCCUACCUAGGCGACGAUACAUAGCCGACCUUAGAGGGUGAUCGGCCACACUGGGACUGAGACACGGCCCAGACUCCUGCGGGAGGCAGCAGUAGGGAAUCUUCGGCAAUGGGGGGAACCCUGACCGAGCAACGCCGCGUGAGUGAAGAAGGUUUUCGGAUCGUAAAGCUCUGUUGUUAAGGAAGCGGUACUUAACCAGAAAGGGAUGGCGAACUACGGGCCAGCAGCCGCGGUAAAC
rnacentral:rRNA from 1 species